UUCACCUACAAAAUGGAAAUGUCAUUAUUAGUGUUGGAAGCAGCGAAUGUGACAACGUCAUAGGAACCAAAAUACAACAGUCAGAUUUUUUUCUGCCUUUUGCCAAACUAAAAAGUAUCCCUGUUUUGAAGGAUCAAGAAAUCAAUAGUUGUAUUAAAAGCUGAAACAAAUAAGACAAGGUCACUUGGGUGAAGAGAGGGGGGAAAAAGAAGCAAACAUAAUUCCCUGGCUUCUUAAAUCUUAAUUUCGACAGAUACAGACCUGACAAGUAGGGGAGGGGCUAUAAAGAAAUAUAAAGUAGGAAGGGUGUAUCAGAUAUUUCCUAAUUUCUUCAGAUAACAUUUCAACAUCUUUGAAAACUUAUUCCAUAAAAGAUAUAUCCUGGUUGUCAUCAAUUCAAUCUUGAUGCUACCUGGAGUUGAAGGCUUGUCCCUACAAAACUUCCCACUGUUUGUGAUGGAACUCCCAAACUUCAGUUGUUUUGCCUGUGUUUCUGACUCUAAACUGGGGUGUCUACCACCCUCGCUUCUCGAGUUCUAUUAAUUUGCUAGCAUGAAAGAUAUCAAGGAAAUGCAGGAUUUUUCUUCUUGUUGUUUACUAUAGGAGACCUUAAAGGACACAAAUGAACAAAUCGAAGACAAAGUCCAGAAGGACCCUAAGAAUUGGAGCUUCUCACCCCACAGGGUUGAAGUGUGUCACUCUCCUAGCACAUGGCUGUAUUCUUCUUGGUCUUUCUGAAAGCCUUGAAUUGCUAGGGGGUAGGGGGCAGGAGAAGCUGAGGCUUCAUUAGAUAUGAUUGAUGAAGUCAUAGGCUACUGUAAGUCAGUGUUACCUUUAUGCACCUCAUGGCCCCCACACACACACCCUCACCUCCCAUCCUCCCCCAUUCCAAAGAUAGAGCUGUGAGUUACAGCUGUCUUAGCCCUUGAUUGGUUCCACUGGCAACCAGCUAGCUCCCUGUAAUCACCUAAAGUACCUUAACAUAGUGGUUCUCCACCUUCCUAAUGCUGCGACCCUUUAAUACAGUUCCUCAUGUUGUGAUGACCCCCACUACAACAUUACUUCCAUUGCUACCUCAUAACUGUGAUUUUGCUACUGUUAUAAAUCAUAAUGUAAGUAUCUGAUAUGAAGUAUAUCUAAUAUGCAACUCCUGUGAAAGGGUGGGCUGACCCCCGCCCCCCAAAAGAGGUCUCAACUCCCCAGUUGAGAAAAGCCUCCUUAACAAACCAUGUUGAGUGUAGGGGCUGAUUCCUGCAAUCUCAGCACUCCACUCAGGCAGGAGAAUUGCCACAAAUUCAAAUCCAGCCUUGGUUUCAUAGUGAGUUCGAGGCCAGAUUAGGCUAGCAUGAAAUCGUUUUUCCAAACACUUUUAGCUCCCGGGAGCUGGAGGUGCAGAAGUGAAGAAAACAUAAAUUAGCAAAGCAAAAUAUGGAAUGACUUCAUUAACAGAAACUCAUAAAUGAUUGAAAUGGUCUUAUAAAUAACAAAAGGCUAUUUUCCUUGCGGAAAUGUUGAGAGAACAUAUAGGUGAGUGAAGUAUGGUAGAUGAAUAGACAUGAAUUACUGAUAGAUGGGGAGGCAGAUGGUAGGUGGGUAGAUAUGGAUGGAGAGAGAGAGAGAGAGAUGGAUGGAUAAAAGCCUCCUUGUUGGUCUCACCAUCUAGACAUCUUUCCUGACUUUCUAUACUUUUUUGUGUUCCUAGACAGAGAACAAUAUGAAUCUAACCCUGCAACUGAGGUAAAGAGUAGAUGUAUUGUAAGGGUCCACGACUUGCAAACACUGAUACCCCAUCCUCAAAUAAUCUGCCAUGUCGAAGAGAAUUUAUUCUGCAGAGAACCUGCAAGCAGGAGUCCACCAUACAUCAGGAUGGAAGACACAUGUGGACUUUGCAGGAAGAAGAAAACUAUGGUGAAAACUGGAAGGCACUCAGGAGGGUCACCAGCAAGAAAUGUACGCCUCUGCUUGCCCCCUUCCUAGUCACUGCUCAGCAUUCUUGUCAGGGUUCCCGGCAUGGUGUAUGUGGGUCACACACAAGUAUCCCAUGGUGACAGCUGGAAAGGCAGUGGCUCUGUUGUGUGACUCCAUGGGGGAAGAUCUUCUUUCCCACACUCUAGCCAAGCAAUCUGUUGGGGAGCAUGGAGAGCCAAAUGUUUGUUUGUAGGCGACCAAGACAUUGCCAAGAUUACCCUUGGAAGCAUGCUGAUGUUUACUACACUCUAACUUGUGUUAUAGGCCCAGUGCCUACAAUUACCAUCAUUUCCUGGUUCGUCUUUUAUUCACUGUGAUUAAUUAUCUUUCUAAUAUAUCCUUGCCUGAUGA